rnacentral:tRNA from 1 species
GCCCGCUUGGCGGAAUCGGUAGACGCAACGGACUUAAAAUCCGUCGCCAUCGGCGUGCCGGUUCGAGUCCGGCAGCGGGCACCA